UGCUAUGCUUUACUAUACAGUCUUUCAAGCUUAGCUCUUGGGACUUGAACACUGCUAGAAAGCUAGCAAGUGUUCAAGUCCCAAGAGCUAAGCUUGAAAGACUGUAUAGUA
rnacentral:pre_miRNA from 1 species